rnacentral:rRNA from 1 species
AUGGUUUUAGUGGGGAGCGCGGCUAUUUUCUGGUCUCUUUGGAAAUGUAGAAAUGAUGUAAUUUUCAGGUCGAAAAAGAUAUAUGACCCAAUGGUUUUUAUCCGAUUGAUGUGUAACUGGAUUGUGGAUUGGUCAAUUUUGCAGAAAAAAAAGCCGGAGGAAAGACUAAUGCAGCUGGGAGCAAAACUAAUCGAGCGGGUGGCAAAUGAAAUUUACAAGGCGACACAGGGAUGGAGGCUGGGAGUUCGUCGCUUGGAGUUUGAUCAAUGA